rnacentral:rRNA from 1 species
UGUAAGCGUAUACCAAAGUUGUUGCAGUUAAAACGCUCGUAGUCGGAAUUUGGCAGUUCCGGAUGUGUGCACGUCGUGUGCGCACUUCGCGGGGAUUGCUUUUGUGGUCUUGCGUAGGAUGAGGCACUUUUAUUAGUGAACGUCCUCACGCAACCACUCUUUACUGUGAGAAAAUCAGAGUGCUCAAAGCAGGCAUUUGCCGUGAAUGUAUUAGCAUGGAAUAAUAGAAUAAGACUUGGUUCUAUUUUGUUGGUUUGUUGGGACUGAGUAAUGAUUAAGAGGGACAGUUGGGGGCAUUUGUAUUUCGGUGCUAGAGGUGAAAUUCUUAGAUUACCGAAAGACAAACUGCUGCGAAAGCGUCUGCCAAGGAUGUUUUCAUUGA